UACGUAGGUGGCAAGCGUUGUCCGGAUUUAUUGGGUUUAAAGGGUGCGUAGGCGGCCCUGUAAGUCAGUGCUGAAAUAUCCCGGCUUAACCGGGAGGGUGGCAUUGAUACUGCGGGGCUAGAGUACAGAUGAGGUAGGCGGAAUUGACGGUGUAGCGGUGAAAUGCGCAGAUAUCGGGAGGAACACCUAUGGCGAAGGCAGCUCGCUGGGACGUUACUGACGCUGAGACGCGAAAGCGUGGGGAGCAAACAGG
rnacentral:rRNA from 1 species